UACGUAGGGUGCGAGCGUUGUCCGGAAUUAUUGGGCGUAAAGGGCUCGUAGGCGGCCUGUCGCGUCGGGCGUGAAAGCCCACUGCUUAACGGUGGGUCUGCUUUCGGUACGGGCGGGCUAGAGUAUGGCAGGGGAGACUGGAAUUCCUGGUGUAGCGGUGGAAUGCGCAGAUAUCAGGAGGAACACCGGUGGCGAAGGCGGGUCUCUGGGCCAUUACUGACGCUGAGGAGCGAAAGCGUGGGUAGCAAACAGG
rnacentral:rRNA from 1 species